UCUCGCUUUAGUUCAGAUGAUAAACCAUUCAUAUGAAUUAAUUAUUAAUUUUAAUAUUAACACAAUACUUAAUGGAUAAGUAAACUCAGAUGUCUCAAAUUAAAGCGAAAUGCCGAAAUGCCGUGAGACUGGGUUGACAUAUAAUACGCACUUAACGCACACCACUAAACAUAAGGGGUUAACAGUGUGUAUUAUAUCCACAUAAGUUAAUUUUUGCAUAUAAAUAUCACACCAAAUAUAAACAGAAACUUGUGCUAUUAAUCUGUUGUGUUAUUGUAGUGCGACGGAAUUGAAUUUGAAAAUAAUCUGUAAAAUUCAGUGGCUGACCUACUGAAAAAUCCAGCAUAAGCAGACACAUUUAUCUGAAGUGAUUUGAUCAUCGGCAAUUAUUUAUGUUAUUGUUGUUAUCGUCAUUCUUUAACAGUAGAGCUAAAGGUAUCAAAUAUUUAUGCAAAAAUUUUGCAUAGCUUUGAUUAUUUUAACAGAGCAUUAAUCCAGUGGGACAAAAAUCAUAGAAUUUUGUAGUUUCUUAAUCUUCAUUGUUUGUUUUUAGAAGUUUUAUAUUGUGUUUGGGGAGUGAUUUUCUUAACAAAUAGCCUUCCUUUAAUACUGAAUGUUGCAACAAACGAGCCAUGCAUGAAAAUCAAGACAUGAACUCAAACACAUUUAGGCCAAACUUUAAAACAAUGUUUGAUAUCUAAAUUAUUUUUUUGAAUUUGUCACUUAAUCUCUUGAUCUUUUGCUCUGUGUAUCUCUGUAUGUCAGGUGUGUCUGCUCCUAAAGUGAUCGUCCUGCCGCCGUCCAGUGAAGAGAUUUCCAGCAAGAAGACAGCAACAGUGAUGUGUGUGGCCAGCAAUGGUUUCCCUUCAGACUGGAGUCUGAGCUGGAAAGUGAAUGGGAAGAUGUCAGGAUCUCAGGAGAACAGAGCUGGAGUCCUACAGAAAGACGGCGGUCUGUACAGCUGGAGCAGCAGUCUGACUCUCACUGAACAAGAAUGGAUCAACAGAGACUCAGUGAUCUGUGAGAUCAGUCGGGAAGGUCAGACAGUCACUGGAGAAGUGAAGAAAGAUCUGUGUUCUCAGUAG